AUUGAACGCUGGCGGCAGGCCUAACACAUGCAAGUCGAGCGGUUGAAGGGAGCUUGCUCCUGGAUUCAGCGGCGGACGGGUGAGUAAUGCCUAGGAAUCUGCCUGGUAGUGGGGGAUAACGUCCGGAAACGGGCGCUAAUACCGCAUACGUCCUGAGGGAGAAAGUGGGGGAUCUUCGGACCUCACGCUAUCAGAUGAGCCUAGGUCGGAUUAGCUAGUUGGUGGGGUAAAGGCCUACCAAGGCGACGAUCCGUAACUGGUCUGAGAGGAUGAUCAGUCACACUGGAACUGAGACACGGUCCAGACUCCUACGGGAGGCAGCAGUGGGGAAUAUUGGACAACGGGCGAAAGCCUGAUCCAGCCAUGCCGCGUGUGUGAAGAAGGUCUUCGGAUUGUAAAGCACUUUAAGUUGGGAGGAAGGGCAGUAAGUUAAUACCUUGCUGUUUUGACGUUACCAACAGAAUAAGCACCGGCUAACCUCGUG
rnacentral:rRNA from 1 species